rnacentral:lncRNA from 1 species
CUCUUGCGUGAUUCAUAUCACGAUAAAAAACUUUAUUUCUUACGUAAAGGGGUUUUAAUUCUUUAUACCUCUCAACAAAUGAUUCGAGGAAUAAUAUACAUUAUCGUAAUUUGUAUCCAAUUUAGAUUAGAAUUAGAACUGAUUCUAAAAUUAUGAAACAUAAGUUUUUGCAAUUGGAUCAAGAAUCCUAAUUUUUGAAUAUGAAUAAAGGAUCCGGGGAGAAAGAUAUAGAAAAUUUGUUUCCAAUCAUAACUAAAUCUUCCAUUUUUUUUUUCUAUUUCUUUUGGAUAGGAGAGAUUGAAGCAAAAUAGCUAUUAAACGUUUUUUUUAGUUUACUAGAAACAUCGUUAUAUUUUUUUUAGCUCGACGGAAAUUUUAUGUUUUUCCUAAAGAUUCUCUCAAAUAGAAAUAGAGAACGAAAUAACUAGAA